UACGUAGGGGGCAAGCGUUGUCCGGAAUCAUUGGGCGUAAAGCGCGUGUAGGCGGUUCGGUAAGUCCGCUGUGAAAGUCCAGGGCUCAACCCUGGAAUGCCGGUGGAUACUGUCGGGCUAGAGUCCGGAAGAGGCGAGUGGAAUUCCUGGUGUAGCGGUGAAAUGCGCAGAUAUCAGGAGGAACACCAAUGGCGAAGGCAGCUCGCUGGGACGGUACUGACGCUGAGACGCGAAAGCGUGGGGAGCAAACAGG
rnacentral:rRNA from 1 species